AAAGGGCUAUUUUAACUAAAAUAGAUAGCUUCGGCCUACCAGAUCUUAGAACCUCUAAGGCCCUUUU
rnacentral:tRNA from 1 species